rnacentral:lncRNA from 1 species
UCUAGAUCUUUACCUGUUAGUUGUUAAGUGUGUUUUAUGUUAUAGAUUUUUAGUAUGCCAUGUGGACUAUGAUCUGGAACUAGAAUCAGGGUCAGAUCAUGUCUAUAUUGCAAGAUAUAAGUGGUCAAACAUAGUUGACCGACCAUGGGAGACUGAAUCUGGUCAGCCCAGAAUUGCCCAAAAUGGUCUGACAAGCUUUUCUGAGCCUCAGAUCUUGUUGUGUGUUAGUGUUUAGUCUAUGUUGUUGUGUUGAUCUUGUAGACUACACGAUAAGUACUACACGAUCGUGCCUAUAGAUUACGAAUAUCAUGAUCAGGAUAGAAAUUAAUCAAGGUCAAACCAGCGUUGACUAAUUGCCUGAGAAGAAAUCCG